UACAGAGGGUGCGAGCGUUAAUCGGAAUUACUGGGCGUAAAGCGUGCGUAGACGGUAGCGUAAGUCAGAUGUGAAAUCCCCGAGCUCAACUUGGGAAUUGCAAUGGAUACUGGCAGGCUGGAGUAUGGUAGAGGAAGGUGGAAUUCCCGGUGUAGCAGUGAAAUGCGUAGAGAUCGGGAGGAACACCAGUGGCGAAGGCGGCCUUCUGGACCAAUACUGACGCUCAUGCACGAAAGCGUGGGGAGCAAACAGG
rnacentral:rRNA from 1 species